rnacentral:rRNA from 1 species
CCUACGGGCGGCAGCAGUGAGGAAUAUUGGUCAAUGGGCGCGAGCCUGAACCAGCCAAGUCGCGUGAGGGAUGACGGUCCUACGGAUUGUAAACCUCUUUUGCCGGGGAGCAAGCGUGCGUUCGUGAACGCGCGUCGAGAGUACCCGGAGCAAAAGCAUCGGCUAACUCCGUGCCAGCCGCCGCGGUAAUACGGAGGAUGCGAGCGUUAUCGGGAUGUAUUGGGUUUAAAGGGUGCGUAGGCGGGAUGCCAAGUCAGCGGGAAAAGUGCGGUGCUAAACGCCGUCGGGCCGUUGAAACUGGCGUACUUGAGUGGGCGAGAAGUAGGCGGAAUGCGUGGUGUAGCGGUGAAAUGCAUAGAUA